rnacentral:rRNA from 1 species
AGUGAACGCUGGCGGCGUGCCUAAUACAUGCAAGUCGAACGGAGUGGCGCACGGGUGAGUAAUAUAUAGCUAAUCUGCCCCUUGCUGGAGGACAACAGUUAGAAAUGACUGCUAAUACUCCAUAGAAAGGGAUGAGACUAUAUCGUAUCAGCUUGUCGGUGGGGUAACGGCCUACCGAGGCUAUGACGCGUAACUGGUCUGCGAGGAUGAUCGGUCACAGUGGAACGGAGACACGGUCAAAACUUCUACGGGAGGCAGCAGUAGGGAGUAUUGCGAAAGGGGGGAAACCCUGACGCAGCAACGGCGCGUGGAGGAUGACAGUUUUCGGAGCGUAAACUCCUUUUGUUAGGGAAGCGGUACCUAACGAAUAAGCACCGGCGAACUACGUGCCAGCCGCCGCGGUAAUAC